GGCAAGGCCAUGGUCCCUUCCUCUGUGGAUCUGGAGAUGCCAGUGGCACCCCGGGGUCUUGGUGUCUUCAUCUUUACAGCUAGAGCCCCCACUGAGGUAGAGGAAGAUUCGUUGGAGCCAGGAAUAGGCUGCUGUUUGCAUGGUGCCCGGGUGACAGUAGGAGUGUCAGAGUGCCGGCUUGCGAUUGAGAUGGAGGUCCCCUCUCAUGAGAGUGCGGUGGCUCGGACAGGCCAUCCAUGAGGAGGGGGCGGCCUUCGGAGGGGAGG
rnacentral:lncRNA from 1 species